AAUGAACGUUGGCGGCGUGGAUUAGGCAUGCAAGUCGAGCGAGAACCCAGCAAUGGGGGACAGCGGCGCAAGGGACAGUAAUGUGUAGAUUAUCUGCCCUCGGGUCCGGGAUAGCUGCGGGAAACUGCAGGUAAUACCGGAUAACAUCUCCGGAUCAAAGGUGUGAUUCCGCCCGAGGAUGAGUCUGCAUCCUAUUAGCUAGUUGGCAGGGUAAUGGCCUACCAAGGCGAUGAUGGGUAGCGGGUGUGAGAGCGCGACCCGCGUCAUUGGGACUGAGACACUGCCCAGACACCUACGGGUGGCUGCAGUCGAGAAUCUUCGGCAAUGGGCGCAAGCCUGACCGAGCGACGCCGCGUGUGGGAUGAAGGCCUUCGGGUUGUAAACCACUGUCAGAGGGGAUGAAAUGCAGGUGGGUUCUCCCAUCUGUUUGACAUAGCCUCAGAGGAAGGACGGGCUAAGUUCGUGCCAGCCGCCGCAGUAAAAC
rnacentral:rRNA from 1 species